GGAAGGGCAAAUCGACUGGCGACGAAAACGGUCUUGAAAACCGCCGAGCGUUAAUAGCGCCUUGAGGGUUCGACUCCCUCUCCUUCCG
rnacentral:tRNA from 1 species